rnacentral:rRNA from 1 species
CCCUUAGAUGUUCUGGGCCGCACACACGCUACACUGAAGGAGGCAGCGUGUACUCCUGGAUCGAAAGAUUUGGGUAACCCGCGAAUCUCCUUCGUGCUAGGGAUUGAGGUUUGCAAUUAUCCUUCAUGAACGAGGAAUUCCCAGUAAGUGCAAGUCAUAAGCUUGCGCUGACUACGUCCCUGCCCUUUGUACACACCGCCCGUCGCUACUACCGAUUGAAUGAUUUAGUGAGGACUUCGGACUGGGACCGAUGCGGCUUUCGGGCUGCGUCGGUAUUCUGGAAAGAUGUCCAAACUGUAUCAUUUAGAGGAAGUAAAAGUCGUANCA